UCAACCAUCAAGCCCUGCUUGGUAUUGGGUGCCGUCCCUGCUGUGGGCGCGCCCUAAAUUGAUCGGCGGUGGUGUUGUAACCUCAAGCGUAGUAGAAUCUCCAGCUUCUAGGUUUCGACGCCGUCUGGCCUCAAGAACCCCAUCACCUCAA
rnacentral:misc_RNA from 1 species